GACGAACGCUGGCGGCGCGCUUAACACAUGCAAGUCGAACGGAAAGGCCUGCUUUCCCUUGUGGAUUGCGGGUACUCGAGUGGCGAACGGGUGAGUAACACGUGAGUGAUCUGCCCCCAACUUGGGUAUAAGCCUGGGAAACUGGGUCUAAUUCCCGAUAGGACUGCAGGGUGGUGCCUGUGGUGGAAAACGAUUUUCUAGUGGUUGGGGAUGAGCUCGCGGCCUAUCAGCUUGUUGGUGGGGUAAUGGCCUACCAAGGCGGCGACGGGUAGCCGGCCUGAGAGGGUGGACGGCCACAUUGGGACUGAGAUACGGCCCAGACUCCUACGGGAGGCAGCAGUAGGGAAUAUUGCACAAUGGGCGGAAGCCUGAUGCAGCGACGCCGCGUGGGGGAUGACGGCCUUCGGGUUGUAAACUCCUUUCGACCGCGAGGAAGCCACCUGGUUGGAAGGGUGGUGACGGUAGUGGUAGAAGAAGCACCGGCUAACUACGUG
rnacentral:rRNA from 1 species